GUGUGACGUCAUGGCGCGGGGAGGGGGUCGGGGCGCGGGUGCCGCUCGCUCUUACGGCCCUCAUGGCCCCUGACAGCCCCCGGGCCCCAUCGCCCCCGCGGCUGCAGCACCCGCCGCACGGACGGGGGGGUCCCGCCGCACAGGUGGGACCCGCGUUUGCACGAACCGGGCUGUGGCAAUAAAGAACCUCUGCGGGAACCGGGCUCGCACAGCUUUGUCCAGUGCUUUAUUUUUCAUUCUGUAUAUUCCAACAGGAUGUUUAUGGAAACUUGGCUGCUUUGUGGAAGAAAGCAAAGCUCUCCUGAAGGAAUUAGGCAGGAACUCUUGUAGGUUUGUUUUUUUUUUUUUUCUUCUAGUGUUUAUGUCUGUCAAGCUACUUUAGCACACAUGCAGCUUCUUAAAACUCAUUGACCGAGGUAAGUUAUGGAAUUGUUCCCCAGACAGAGAAAAAAACUGUCAGAGCAGAAUUAUCUGAUGAAAUGGUUUAAGGGUUGGCUAUAAAACAUGAAAGCUGACAACACUUUACCUUGUUCCUGUCUCCAGACAAAUUUAAAAGGAAAAAAAAUCAAGAAAAACAGUGAGAAUAAUUACAUCUAAUUAAUUAUGUCUGAUAAUUACAUCACUGCACAGUGCUGUCUUACAAGGUGAGAAACAUUCCUGUGGGUCUGUGCUCCAUCUCAUACCAACCUUUAAAAAAUAUUUAAACCACCAUGUGCUCUUUGGACUGCAAACAAAAAGCUGAUAAAUUUAAACUGUUCUCUAAAUUUCACACAGCUAAACGUGGGCACCCAUUUUUUCCUUUUGCAGGCCCGCGAGGCUGAGUCCCACACGGGUCACUCAGUAAGAAUUUUUAGUAUAUGGGUGAGUGUUCACUUAGCUUUGAGCUGAAAUAGUCUAAAAAGCAAUCGUGAGAAGUUAACAUAAAAGCAAUUAAAAAGUGCACAAGGAAGAAAAUUGCUGGUGAUGGAUUUCUUCCUGAGCUGGGGGAAAUGCUUUGGCUACUCCAGCAGCAUUACCUGAUGGAGGUGUUGCCUUUGGAUGCCGAGUGGUUGGUGUCACACAAGGCCACGUUGCCCAGGUGUGACAGCUUAAACUGAAUAAAAGUUUACCAGGCAUAAAAUAUGGUGGCCUU
rnacentral:lncRNA from 1 species